rnacentral:rRNA from 1 species
UACGUAGGGUGCAAGCGUUAAUCGGAAUUACUGGGCGUAAAGCGUGCGCAGGCGGUUCUAUAAGACAGAUGUGAAAUCCCCGGGCUCAACCUGGGAACUGCAUUUGUGACUGCAUGGCUGGAGUGCGGCAGAGGGGGAUGGAAUUCCGCGUGUAGCAGUGAAAUGCGUAGAUAUGCGGAGGAACACCGAUGGCGAAGGCAAUCCCCUGGGCCUGCACUGACGCUCAUGCACGAAAGCGUGGGGAGCAAACAGG